CUGGAUCCCAGCUGAGCUGCACACAGCCGCUGUGCGCCUGUCCCAGGAGGUAAUGCCAGGGCUGGCCGAGGCCACCUCUCCUCUUGUCACAGCAGCCAGUGUCACUGCGGGGCACACAGAGCCUGCAUCAACCACGUCUGGCCGUGUCACAUCUCCCACCGUGCCAGCAACCACAGGGUCUCCCCAUCAUGAUGGAGUACAGAAGUCAGAUACCAUGAUCCUCCCAGGCAGCGUCUCAGCGACAAUCACCCUUUCUCCUGCCACCGAUGGUGUCAGUGAGGCCACAGCCCCAGGGCUGCCAGCCCCUGGCACAGCUGGAGAUGGGCUGCACCGAGAGAUCACUGUCACCCAUC
ensembl:lncRNA